rnacentral:rRNA from 1 species
GAUGAACGCUGGCGGCGUGCCUAAUACAUGCAAGUCGAGCGAACAGAUAAGGAGCUUGCUCCUUUGACGUUAGCGGCGGACGGGUGAGUAACACGUGGGUAACCUACCUAUAAGACUGGAAUAACUCCGUGAAACCGGGGCUAAUGCCGGAUCACAUUUAGAACCGCAUGGUUCUAAAGUGAAAGAUGGUUUUGCUAUCACUUAUAGAUGGACCCGCGCCGUAUUAGCUAGUUGGUAAGGUAACGGCUUACCAAGGCAACGAUACGUAGCCGACCUGAGAGGGUGAUCGGCCACACUGGAACUGAGACACGGUCCAGACUCCUACGGGAGGCAGCAGUAGGGAAUCUUCCGCAAUGGGCGAAAGCCUGACGGAGCAACGCCGCGUGAGUGAUGAAGGUCUUCGGUUCGUAAAACCCUGUUAUUAGGGAAGAACAAAUGUGUAAGUAACUGUGCACGUCUUGACGUUACCUAAGCAGAAAGCCACGGCUAACUACUU